rnacentral:sRNA from 1 species
AACUGUGCGGAUCAGACCCGGCAGCCUUGCUCUGUUCAGCAUAGCAUAGCGGAGCGGAUCCGAGCGGAUCGGAGCGGAUCGGAGCGGAUCGGAGCACACCGGAGCAGACUCAUCGAGAGGGCGUCUGCGAGACCAUGGAGAACGGAUACACAUAUGAAGAUUAUAAGAACACUGCAGAAUGGCUUCUGUCUCACACUAAGCACCGACCUCAAGUUGCAAUAAUCUGUGGUUCUGGAUUAGGAGGUCUGACUGAUAAAUUAACUCAGGCCCAGAUCUUUGACUACAGUGAAAUCCCCAACUUUCCCCGAAGUACAGUACCAGGUCAUGCUGGCCGACUGGUGUUUGGGUUCCUGAAUGGCAGAGCCUGUGUGAUGAUGCAGGGCAGGUUCCACAUGUAUGAAGGGUACUCACUCUGGAAGGUAAGUCAGGGGGAUAGGCCUGGUUGGAUCUGGAAGAGGCAGGAGAGAACUGUCUAGCCUCUUUCGCUACCUAGCUGUCUGGACUAGGUGGAUUUUUGGUCCUCUCCUUCCUUUUCUUUCACGAUGUAUGUCAUGCAUUUCAGUGUAGCUGAAUUAAUGAAAUUUUGUAAAUUUUUUUCUGAUCUUUUGCUUCGAAGGUGACAUUCCCAGUGAGGGUUUUCCACCUUCUGGGUGUGGACACCCUGGUGGUCACCAAUGCAGCAGGAGGGCUGAACCCCAAGUUUGAGGUUGGAGAUAUCAUGCUGAUCCGUGACCAUAUCAACCUACCUGGUUUCAGUGGUCAGAACCCUCUCAGAGGGCCCAAUGAUGAAAGGUAUGUAUGUUACUCCGUUUUUUUUUUGAUGGGUAGGAUUUAAAGACUUCUAGGAGCUGUGGGAGAAUUUUUUAAAUUCCGUUUAUGUGAGAUAAUUCAACCUGUGUCCUAGGUUUGGAGUUCGUUUCCCUGCCAUGUCUGAUGCCUACGACCGGACUAUGAGGCAGAGGGCUCUCAGUACCUGGAAACAAAUGGGGGAGCAACGUGAGCUACA